GACUUCGUAACCCCUUGCACAGAUGCAAUAUUUGCUGCUUUUCAUAAGAUCCCUAUAUUUUGCUUUACCCUCAGGAUCACGAGGCAUAGGCCCAAAAAUCUUCAUAUCAGGUUCUUUCUCACUCCAAUGUUGCAAUAAUAUAGGACGGAGAUAACCAUGAAUACCUCCAGCAAAAAAGGCAAGCACAGGUCUUGCUGAAGGAGGAUUUCCUCCGAAAUCUUUGAGCGGGUCUUCAGCUGAACGAACAUAGGUUACUGGCAGAGAGACAUCCUUCCCUAUCUUGAAGCCUCCAGCUAUAUUUGAAUUGCAGAGGACUCUAACACAGGUUUCCAUGUUCUU
rnacentral:misc_RNA from 1 species